AAAAAGGUAAGCUAAAUAAGCUUAUGGGUUCAUACCCCAUCUAUGAAAACUUUUCCCUUUUUA
rnacentral:tRNA from 1 species